GCAUGUGAUACUGGUGGUGCUAGAAUAUGUGAGAGGGAAGUAGAAUUCCAGGUGUAGCGGUGAAAUGCGUAGAGAUCUGGAGGAAUACCGAUGGCGAAGGCAGCUUCCUGGCAUAAUAUUGACACUGAGAUUCGAAAGCGUGGGUAGCAAACAGGAUUAGAUACCCUGGUAGUCCACGCCGUAAACGAUGUCUACUAGCCGUUGGGGUCCUUGAGACUUUAGUGGCGCAGUUAACGCGAUAAGUAGACCGCCUGGGGAGUACGGCCGCAAGGUUAAAACUCAAAUGAAUUGACGGGUGUCGACGCGGCCG
rnacentral:rRNA from 1 species